CCUACGGGGGGCAGCAGUGGGGAAUAUUGCACAAUGGGGGAAACCCUGAUGCAGCGACGCCGCGUGAGUGAAGAAGUAUUUCGGUAUGUAAAGCUCUAUCAGCAGGGAAGAAGAAAGACGGUACCUGACUAAGAAGCCCCGGCUAACUACGUGCCAGCAGCCGCGGUAAUACGUAGGGGGCAAGCGUUAUCCGGAUUUACUGGGUGUAAAGGGAGCGUAGACGGCUGUGCAAGUCUGAAGUGAAAGCCCAGGGCUCAACCCUGGGACUGCUUUGGAAACUGUGGGGCUAGAGUGCUGGAGGGGUAGGUGGAAUUCCUGGUGUAGCGGUGAAAUGCGUAGAUAUUAGGAGGAACACCGGUGGCGAAGGCGGCUUACUGGACAGUAACUGACGUUGAGGCUCGAAAGCGUGGGGAGCGAACAGGAUUAGAUACCCGGGUAGUC
rnacentral:rRNA from 1 species